rnacentral:rRNA from 1 species
AGACCCGAAACCCGGUGAUCUAGCCAUGGGCAGGUUGAAGGUUGGGUAACACUAACUGGAGGACCGAACCGACUAAUGUUGAAAAAUUAGCGGAUGACCUGUGGCUGGGGGUGAAAGGCCAAUCAAACCGGGAGAUAGCUGGUUCUCCCCGAAAGCUAUUUAGGUAGCGCCUCGUGAAUUCAUCUCCGGGGGUAGAGCACUGUUUCGGCUAGGGGGCCAUCCCGGCUUACCAACCCGAUGCAAACUGCGAAUACCGGAGAAUGUUAUCACGGGAGACACACGGCGGGUGCUAACGUCCGUCGUGAAGAGGGAAACAACCCAGACCGCCAGCUAAGGUCCCAAAGUCAUGGUUAAGUGGGAAACGAUGUGGGAAGGCCCAGACAGCCAGGAUGUUGGCUUAGAAGCAGCCAUCAUUUAAAGAAAGCGUAAUAGCUCACUGGUCGAGUCGGCCUGCGCGGAAGAUGUAACGGGGCUAAACCAUGCACCGAAGCUGCGGCAGCGACGCUUAUGCGUUGUUGGGUAGGGGAGCGUUCUGUAAGCCUGUGAAGGUGGCCUGUGAGGGUUGCUGGAGG